rnacentral:lncRNA from 10 species
UUUCUAUCAGGAUUUUCAGCUAGGCCUGAGAAUUAAAUUGGCGUAAGAUAGGUUAACAGGAGAAAGGCAUACAAAUGUUAUGUACAUUUUACAGGACACAGGAGCCCUCAUAAGAAAAUAAAGACACAAAGAAUUGACAAAACCUAAAUUUCAUAUGGGGUUAAAGUAACAAAACUGUGUGAGGAGACAUAAAAAAGUUAAGAAUUAUUUUAACAAGGUCAGUUUGUGCAGAAUUUUCUCGGCUAUGACAUGCCUUGGAAGAAUUAUUUUUUUCUCCUGGUACUGGGAGGGUGUCUUCCACAAAGGAGCUUUUAUCUCCUGUUUUCAGUAAGAAAAGGGAGACUAAAAUGCUCUUCUUGGAUUUGCUGUUGUUCAAGUGUCUUUAUCUCAAAUGAAUCCUUUGUCAAAGUGGCAUGCUUUAGGGUGGUAUAUUCUGCCACCCUUCAUUAAGAAAUUCUUGAGAACUGACAGGAGCUACUAGGCUCUUUCAAAUAUAUCAUGCCAUUUAAUCCUCUUAGAAGUCCGGCAAAAUCUCCAUUUUAUAGUAAUAUACAUUCAAGGUGACAUCUUAAUUUCUCUUUUGGUUCAACCUGCAGUCUUCCACCAGUUCAUUACUUUGUCAAAAGCGGCUAGAAGGCAAUGGAUAUUAGCCGCUGGGUAAUGUGCUCUGUAAGCGCCAGCCCUCCUCUUUUUUAUUUGUUGUUGUUGUUGUUUACAGGUACAUAAAUGAUAUAUGAAGGUUCAUUUUAAAAAUCUGAACAAAAAAGAAGUGUAUACUAUGAAUAUUAAAUGUUCUCUUCUACUUUGACCUACACCCUAUUCCAUAUCCUUCCCUUCCCUAAAACUAGCCCCUUUAACAUGAAGUACGUUGUUCUGAUACUUCUUUAUACUUCUUCUUGAUGCUAAGACAUCCUUUUUCUAGGCAUUUGCAUAUCUAUUACUGGAAAUGACACGUUAAAAUGAAAUUUUCUAGGUCUUAACAUUUUAACUGAAGACUCAGUCUUAAUUAUCUCAAAGCCAAGAAAAUGGGGUGCCAAUUAAGGGCAAAUUAUAAGUUAAACUUUUAAACCAUUUGCAAAGAGGGUGGCUACGUCUAGCUCAACGACUGGCUUGUCCUCAGUUACAUGACAGGUUAUACCCUCUUUUUUCUCAAAAAAAAGAACAUAGAAAUCACGUCACAGCAUACUAAAUAUCCCUUUAAAGAAAUUCAUAUUCUCCAAUUCCUUUAGAAACCUAAUGGAUUCUACCAUUCUUUUAUAUAUUUGGAGGUAAAUAAUAGGCAAAACUUGGGAUAAGCAGUUGUAGAACUUGGCCUUUUGGAGUCUGAGAAUAUGGUCUGAUAAAAACUUGAAAUCUCCACCGGGCAUGGUGGCUCACGCCCAUAAUCCCAGCACUUUGGGAGUCUGAGGCAGCCAGGUCGCCUGAGGUCAGGAGUUCCAGACAAGCCUGGCCAACAUGGUGAAACCUGUCUCAACU